GGCGGACGCCUAACACAUGCAAGUCGAACGAAGUAGCAAUACUUAGUGGCAGACGGGUGAGUAACAUGUGGGUAUCUACCCUUUGGCCUGGAAUAACACGAGGAAACUUGUGCUAAUACCGGAUAAGUCUUUACGGAGAAAGCUUUAUGCACCAUUGGAGGAGCCCGCACUUGAUUAGUUUGUUGGUAGGGUAAUGGCCUACCAAGACUAUGAUCAAUAGCUGAUUUGAGAGGAUGAUCAGCCACAUUGGGACUGAGACACGGCCCAAACUCCUACGGGAGGCAGCAGUGGGGAAUCUUGCACAAUGGAGGAAACUCUGAUGCAGCGAUGCCGCGUGAGUGAAGAAGGCCUUUGGGUUGUAAAGCUCUUUCGUCGGGGAAGAAAAUGACUGUACCCGAAUAAGAAGGUCCGGCUAACUUCGUGCCAGCAGCCGCGGUAAUCGAAGGGACCUAGCGUAGUUCGGAAUUACUGGGCUUAAAGAGUUCGUAGGUGGUUGAAAAAGUUGGUGGUGAAAUCCCAGAGCUUAACUCUGGAACUGCCCUCAAAACUUUUUCAGCUAGAGUAUGAU
rnacentral:rRNA from 1 species